UGGGGAAUAUUGCACAAUGGGCGCAAGCCUGAUGCAGCCAUGCCGCGUGUGUGAAGAAGGCCUUCGGGUUGUAAAGCACUUUCAGCGAGGAGGAAGGUGGUGAGCUUAAUACGCUCAUCAAUUGACGUUACUCGCAGAAGAAGCACCGGCUAACUCCGUGCCAGCAGCCGCGGUAAUACGGAGGGUGCAAGCGUUAAUCGGAAUUACUGGGCGUAAAGCGCACGCAGGCGGUUUGUUAAGUCAGAUGUGAAAUCCCCGGGCUCAACCUGGGAACUGCAUUUGAAACUGGCAAGCUAGAGUCUCGUAGAAGGGGGUAGAAUUCCAGGUGUAGCGGUGAAAUGCGUAGAGAUCUGGAGGAAUACCGGUGGCGAAGGCGGCCCCCUGGACGAAGACUGACGCUCAGGUGCGAAAGCGUGGGGCAGCAAACAGGAUUAGAUACCCUGGUAGUCCACGCUGUAAACGAUGUCGAUUUUGGAGGUUGUGCCCUUGAGGCGUGGCUUCCGGAGCUAACGCGUUAAAUCGACCGCCUGGGGAGUACGGCCGCAAGGUUAAAACUCAAAUGAAUUG
rnacentral:rRNA from 1 species